CCCUUAGAUGUUCUGGGCCGCACGCGCGCUACACUGAUGCGUUCAACAAGUUUCCUUGGCCGAGAGGCCUGGGCAAUCUUCUUAAUAUGUAUCGUGAUAGGGAUAGAUUAUUGCAAUUAUUAAUCUUGAACGAGGAAUUCCUAGUAAACGCAGAUCAUCAAUCUGCAUUGAUUACGUCCCUGCCCUUUGUACACACCGCCCGUCGCACCUACCGAUUGGAUGUUCCGGUGAAGCCUCGGGAUGAGGACUGGUGCCUUUAUUGGCAUGAGUUGUUCAGAACUUGUCUAAACCUUAUCAUCUAGAGGAAGGUGAAGGCGUAACA
rnacentral:rRNA from 1 species